ensembl:lncRNA
UUUCCCACUACUUGAGGUAACACGAAUAUCAGUUUUCAUCUCCAGAGUGUUUACCUAACACAGCUUCCCAUUUAGUAGAUGCCCACUUUGUUUCAGACAUUAAUUUGAUUGGAUUUUUAUGUUGCCUUAUAGCAUCUUUAAGAAUAUAACCAGGAACCAGGGAGAAAUCAGAAAGGAAAAGCCCCUGAGCUAUCCGACAAGGCAUCUUUAACUCAAAGGAGAAAACCUUGGGCUCUUGCUGAUAGUCCAAUUUUAUAUCUUUACUUUAAACUCCUGGUUGGAGUGAGAGUAGGGGUGAGGGGUAGAAUACCAGUGCUAGAGUUGCAGGAGCUUCUGUCCACGCCCAGGAUGCCUCUUACCUUUCUGUAGCCCAGGUGGCUUUCGACAGUGAUUACCUGCAGGCUUCUGAGAAGCAUCUAAGGGGAGUAGCCAUCAGAGAAUGAUGGACAGAAUCUAGGGAUAAAAUCAAGCUCCCUGCGCCUCGCGUGGGACAGCGUCUCACAGACUUACAGAGGCGGGAGGAGGCUGAGCCCCAGCUUCCCACAGUGCUAAGUAACCUCUCAUUAGCGCAACCCGAUUGGCUGCCUUCCCUCUCCUCUCUCACUGGCUCGCUCUCUCCUCCUCCUGUUUUCCGAGACAAACAGCUUGCCCUCAAAUCCUCAUCUCAGGGUCUGCUUCUUCCUAAGCUGUGCCACAAGAGAGAAAAGUCAAGGGAUGAUGGAAGGAGCAAAGAAAACUCCAGGAAAGGCAGAGAGAACUAAAGUAGUUGAAGGCUGUGGGGUCCUGGAACAGAGACCACUGGGACGCAAGUGUCUGGAAGGUGGUUUUGUAUGUGUGUGUCUGUGCAGGCACUUCCUCACAGCUCCUCAGAAGACCUGGCGGCCGAAGGCAGGGACAUAGAAGAGGAAGACUUAAUUCCAGCCGGGGAGCAGAAGGCCUCAGGGCGAGGGCGAUGGCGCCGAGCAAUUUCUACUUUGAAUCUGUGGCACCCAUGGGACUCACUCCCAGCUGGUUGUCAGGUGUCUGAUGUGGGCAACAGGGCAGCUUUGUGUGGCUUGGGGGUGGGGGUCAGCCAGGCUCCGGAGCCAUGAAAGUCACUUUGACCCUGGUCUGUGUAACCGCCAGUCUCUGAUCUCAGAACCACAGGUUCAGAGGGGCUGAGGGGAGAACUUAAAGUAGAGAACUAGCACAGGGCAGCUGUGUGGGGUUGGUAGCCCGAGUGCCAUCAGACAUCAACGCUGCCUAUGGGGAAGCCUAGAGCCUGCCCAGGGAAGGCUGGGAGUCCCUCCUGCCUAUCCAGCCAAGCCACCUAGAUUUGCCUGUACUCUCUUCCCACACCUGUCCUUGUAACCAUUGCUCUAAGCACCAGCUUUUCUCAUUCUCCCACAGGAACCACUCUUCUGCCCGUUUUGUCCACCUGUGAAACUAUACUUAAUAGUACCUCCUCAGCCCAGGGACCAGGAGGCUCUGUCACAAUACAAAUCGCAUCGAGUCUGUGGCUAAUAGUGGCUUUGCCUAUUGCUGCUAAGUGCACAUGUCCCCAUAUCCAUAUGUCUGCUUGGUGGGUCUCCGGAAAUCUCUACACCCUAUAAUUCAGGGUGCUGGAGACAGUGUUGAGGGAAGGCUGCUCCUUGGUUUUCACUGCGGAACGAUAAGGUCUGAACACUUCUAGGCUCUGCGAUUGACCAUAGCUCCAGCUCUGAUUUCAGAAGAUAGGAGAACUCCAGAGGAUACCCCUGAAAUCAAUUUCCCCAACACCCGAAAGCUUAGUUCUCUUAGCUGUAGAUCCUUAUGAUCCUUGUUUGUAACCCCAGGGUCUAGCAGAGUAUGUGGCCGGAGUAGUAGGGGUUUAAUAGCUAUCAGUUGAGCAAAAGAGAUUUGGGGAAUGCUGCUGGCUGUGCCUUCCAUAGUGUGAAGGACCGGUCCAUCCUUCCCAGGAAGUAAGCGGGGUUGGGGAGGGGGGUGCGGGGUGCUGGCCAGGCCGAUGCAAGAGAGCUUCUGUCAGCUCGGGAGUUGGUCUUUGUCAGACCCUACUUAGCCCUUCAGUUGGGAUGCCAGUUGUGUAUGACUUAGUUUAAGCACUUUCAGGAGCCCAAAAAGGCAGCCACAUGUGGCUCAACUUGGAAGUUCAGGGAAGAAUGCUGUCUCCCACCCACGGGUCUCAGUGUCUCUGGGUCUGUACAUACGUCCAGCUCACUGAAGCUGCCUUUCCCGUGUGCAGCCUCGGCAAUGGAGCGGCUGCUGUCCCAGGGCUCGCAGAGCCUCACGGGAAUCUGGAAGGACUGUGGAUAUGUCCCUGGUGAUGUGCCAUAGCUCCCAAGUUGGGAAAAAUGGUAAUCAGGGAACAGGAGUGUCCCCUGCUGACCUCCAGGAGGCAGAGAGGAAGGAGGGCAAGAAGGAGCGUGUCCCACUCUGCCCGUGGAAUUUCUUUCUCUUUCCCGGAAGAAAGCGGCAAAGGCUGUCAAUCGCAUUAGGCUCAGCAGGAAGAUUGCUGCGAAGGCCCCACCACUCAGCGUGAAGUGGAAACUUGGCGGAUGGGCACUCAUCUCACAGGCCCUUAGACCUGUCCCUGGAGAGAGUCUGCUCUGGCCUCUCACUUGACAAGUGUGCUGCUUAAUUUCCAAACAGCUGAGGAUUUUCUUAUGGAAAAAAAAAAAAGAUUUAUGAAGAUGUAAUUCACAUUCCAUACAAUACACCAAUUUAAAGCAUGCAUUUCAAUGGCUUGGUGUAUAUAUAUAUAUAUUUUUUUUCAAAAUGAUAAUAAAAUACCCCAUUUUAACCGUUUUAAAACUAUA